UGGGGAAUAUUGGACAAUGGGCGCAAGCCUGAUCCAGCCAUGCCGCGUGAGUGAUGAAGGCCUUAGGGUUGUAAAGCUCUUUCGCCGGGGAAGAUAAUGACGGUACCCGGAGAAGAAGCCUCGGCUAACUCCGUGCCAGCAGCCGCGGUAAGACGGAGGAGGCUAGCGUUGUUCGGAAUUACUGGGCGUAAAGCGUACGCAGGUGGCGAGACAAGUCGGAUGUGAAAGCCCGGGGCUCAACCCCGGAUGUGCAUCCGAUACUGUUUUGCUAGAGUCCGGAAGAGGAGAGCGGAAUUCCCAGUGUAGAGGUGAAAUUCGUAGAUAUUGGGAAGAACACCAGUGGCGAAGGCGGCUCUCUGGUCCGGUACUGACACUCAAGUACGAAAGCGUGGGGAGCAAACA
rnacentral:rRNA from 1 species